GUGAAGGCAAUGCAGCUGCGUGAUAAGAUGGGGUGGAGCCUGGCUGCACCUCUCUUAGACCUUACUGAAGGGCUGAUCCCCAUUGGGGAAGGAUCUUGGGUUGUUGAUCUUGCCUUUGUGGAGUCUUUCAUGUGUGUCUAGAUCUUUGGAGACAGCCUCCAGUGCUUCAGAGGAAGGGAGAUGGAAGGGAUAUGCUCUCAGGAGACAGGUUAUGAAUCAAGAUUGCUUCGUACAGAACACUGACAGGCAGCCAAACUUGCACACCAGUCAUUAAUUCAGCAAUUUCACAGUGGAGUUCCUCAGCCAGCAUAUUGUAAAGAAUCAUCACGGUGACUCUUCUGAAGCCACUGGAGCCAGAGCAGCAAUGUCUAAGAGCCAGUGGAGUUUUUCCUUCUGCUAUAUCACAGAAGUGGUAUCAGACCACUGGACUUCAUAUCAAAGUCAUGUGACUAAUAGUAUGAACUGUAGCAAAUCAAUAGUGGAUAUCCUUGAGCAUCCUCCAGUUAUGCAUUAAAAGAAUGUGACCUGCUCUUGCUGACCCUUUGCUUUAUAAUUCUAUCAAAAAGGACUUGAUGUUAUUUAAUUGAUUUGUUUUCCUAUGGAAAUCAAGUGUCAUUACCUCUAAUGUCAUUUACAGUGAUGGAUGGCAGACAGCCCUGCUGCAAUCAGUAUCCUGACACAGUAAUUUAACC
ensembl:lncRNA